AGGUCAACAUCAGGUAUGGAGAUCUUGGGAGCUUUGAUAUUUAUUUCAGGCAUCUUGAACUUGGGGCCCUUCAGUUUUGCGUCUGGACCUUCGAUAUUCACAUCUGGAAUAUCAACGUCCACCUUGGGUCCCGAGACAUCGAUGUCGGCCUUGGGCAGGCUCACAUCCACAUCUGGACCUUCUCCUUUGAAGCCAGGCAUGCUGAAUUUGGGCAUUUUCACCUUGGGCAUCUUCAGGUGCCAGUCUGGGCCAUGAACAUCCACAUCUGGGGCAUCAAUGUCCACUUUGGGGCCCUUGAUGUCAACUUCAGGGGCCUUUAGAUCACCUUCCAUCUUAGGCAGAGAAACAUCCACAUCUCCUUUCACCUUAGGGCCUUUCAGAUGCAAAUCAAAUCAGGCAUGGAGAUCUUGGGGGCUUUGA
rnacentral:lncRNA from 1 species